GCAAGCAUACCCACGAAAACCAUAUAUUUCUUCUGUACCAUUCCUAGACAUAUCAUUGGCCAAUAAUAAUGCUGCACAUAAUGGAUCACAUGCAGGUGCUUACUGCCUGCGUAGUGGGUAUGUUACAUGGACAAAUCAGAUGCUGUUUCAGAUAGUACUGUAACAUGUAAUGGAGUACUGAUUACUAUAGCUUCUGUGAGACUAGGCUUUUCCUCUCCUUCACAUGUCGACACAUGGAUGAAAUUCUGCUCCGGACAACUCUUCCUUUGGAAUGAGACAGGCUAAUCAUCUCACUGCGUGCAACUAUCUGCAAUCAUUUUUCUGCUAUUCAUAUUUUGCGCCCGUACAUCCGAGGACAGCAGCGUUAAUCAUCUCCGGACAAAGUUCUUGGAUGAAUCGAUCCUGCUGAUCAGCAAUGCAUGUCUCUAAGAUAUCAAAUAAAUAAUGUUUUACAAAGGGCAACAACAUGUCAAGAACUAAUAUCAAACGUCACCAUUAAAAUGCUGAAUAUCAAGGGAGCAGUGCAUGCAUAACAUGAGAAAUGGAAGCCUUUCUGCUGGCCUAAUAGUAGUGCAGCACCGGAUUUGUCUUAGUUUCCUCAACCGGUGAAUAGAU
rnacentral:lncRNA from 1 species